rnacentral:rRNA from 1 species
AUUGAACGCUGGCGGCAUGCCUUACACAUGCAAGUCGAACGGUAACAGGUCUUCGGAUGCUGACGAGUGGCGAACGGGUGAGUAAUACAUCGGAACGUGCCUAGUAGUGGGGGAUAACUACUCGAAAGAGUGGCUAAUACCGCAUGAGAUCUACGGAUGAAAGCAGGGGAUCGCAAGACCUUGUGCUACUAGAGCGGCCGAUGGCAGCUUAGGUCGUUGGUGGGAUAAAAGCUUACCAAGCCGACGAUCUGUAGCUGGUCUGAGAGGACGAUCAGCCACACUGGGACUGAGACACGGCCCAGACUCCUACGGGAGGCAGCAGUGGGGAAUUUUGGACAAUGGGCGCAAGCCUGAUCCAGCAAUGCCGCGUGCAGGAUGAAGGCCUUCGGGUUGUAAACUGCUUUUGUACGGAACGAAAAGCCCUGGGUUAAUACCCUGGGGUCAUGACGGUACCGUAAGAAUAAGCACCGGCUAACUACGUGCCAGCCGCCGCAGUAACAC